AGUGAACGCUGGCGGUAGGCCUAACACAUGCAAGUCGAACGGCAGCACAGUAAGAGCUUGCUCUUACGGGUGGCGAGUGGCGGACGGGUGAGGAAUACAUCGGAAUCUACUUUUUCGUGGGGGAUAACGUAGGGAAACUUACGCUAAUACCGCAUACGACCUACGGGUGAAAGCAGGGGAUCUUCGGAGCUUUCGCGAUUGUAUGAGCCGAUGUCGGAUUAGCUAGUUGGCGGGGUAAAGGCCCACCAAGGCGACGAUCCGUAGCUGGUCUGAGAGGAUGAUCAGCCACACUGGAACUGAGACACGGUCCAGACUCCUACGGGAGGCAGCAGUGGGGAAUAUUGGACAAUGGGCGCAAGCCUGAUCCAGCCAUACCGCGUGGGUGAAGAGGGCCUUCGGGUUGUAAAGCCCUGUUGUUGGGAAAGAAAAGCAGCAGGUUAAUACCCCGCUGUUCUGACGGUACCCAAAGAAUAAGCACCGGCUAACUUCGUG
rnacentral:rRNA from 1 species